CCCCUCUCAGGAUCGCACCUGGAGAGCUUCCAGUACUCUACCGGUCUCGGCUACGGGAGGGAGAGUCAAGCAGAGACCUAACCAUUCCUUUCCUAGCUUGGCCCAUGGCUAGCGAGUGGAAGGUAAUCUGCUACAAAU